CAUAUAUUGAUGCAUGUCCUAAAAUGACUCAGCAUGUGCACAGUUACGGAAAUUAAUUCAUAAUAAAUUCGUGACUUGUCCAAAUGAUGCAAAAGACCUACCAAAAUAACCCUAACAGAAAGACCUAUGACUCUGUAAAAUUACAUGCAAUUCUAAACAGAAAGUAUAUUUAAUACGGAUUAUCGAACAAUAGGGCAGAACACAACAUAUAAUUAACCGAUUAGCAUUAUAUAGAAGUUUGGCAAAAAGAGGAAAUCAAAAUCCUAAUUAUUAUUAGAUGCAAUGUUCUUACUAAUAAGAUCCCCCGAGGGGUGGAAGAGUACGAUAAUAG
rnacentral:lncRNA from 1 species